GAUCAUCACAGGCACACACGUCACACCACCAUCUGGCUGAGACAGUCUUGAACCUGCUCUUCCUGCCUCUACCUCCCAGUGGGGUCACAGCCAUGCCUCAACACACCUGCCUUCUGAAUGUGGUCCUUCACCCCUUUUGGCCCCAGAUAACCUCUUCUUGACCUACCCAGCACUGAAGACCAACCUGCUUUUCUUGCCCCUCAGGUUCCCAGAGCUAGAAUACCCCGGGUUCAGCAAGGCUCUCCGCACGGCUGCCUUUGCCUACCCCUUCUUGUUUGACAACCUCCCACUGUUCUACAGGCUGCGGCUGUGUUGGGGCGGGGCCCACAGCUGUGGGCGGGACGCGCUGAGCUCCAACCCUGGUUACCACCUCCUCUGCACUCUGCUCUCAGGCUUCCUUUGUGCAGCCCGUCUACUGGAGCGCCUGGCACCUGGGCGCUUCGACUAUAUUGGUGAGCACCAGCCUGGGAGAGAAGGAGACGGCUUCCCUGCAUGCAGAAUGAGCUGGGAACGCUGGGAACAUGGGGUAUCCUAGCCAGAGGGUGGAUGACAAAGCCAAAGAGAUAUCCCAGCCCCCAAGUCCCAGCUCCUCCCCAGGCUCAGCAAUGAAAGAAUUUAGGGCUUUAUGAAGCUCGGUCCAGUUACUCUUCCAGAACCUCUAGGAGUCAGGUUUUCUCCUUAGGCCCACAGGACAGGUGACUGCCCUGGAUCACAAGUGAAUCUGUUCAAGCUGGGUCUUUACCUAACCAGUCUAUCUGCCCUUCAGGCCACAGCCACCAGCUGUUCCAUAUUUGUGCCGUGCUGGGCACGCACUUCCAGCUGGAAGCAGUGCUGGCUGAUAUGGGAUCCCGCAGAGCCUGGCUGGCCGUGCAGGAGCCCACCCUGGGUCUGGGGGCCACUGUAGCCACCUUGAGCCUGGCAGUGAUUGGGAACCUGUUUAUCAUUGCUGCUUUCACGGCCUCCUUUCUGCGGAUCCCUGGACCCUGCCCCCUGCUGCAGGGUAGCCCACUGGAAGAGGGACUCCAAGCUAAACAACAGUAAGGCCCAUUGGCGUGGAGGGAGGGAGAGGCCAGGCCUCACUGCCUCGGAAGAGCCCUGCCUGACAUGGGCCUGAGAAGGUGGCGACUAUUCUGACCCUGAAAGGGGUAGCUGAAGAGAAGAGGCUCUCUAGGGACAGGUGGAAGGAGAGAGGACCCAAGAGGCAGGUGGUGAAGGUCUGAAUGGACACAGGUACCAGUCAGGGAGCAGAGUGGGGAUGUGAGGUCUCUCCUGGGGCUUCUGCCCAGCUGCCCAGGACCUUGCUCACCUCAGGUCACCCUGAGAUCUUGUUCCAUCGGGGCCACAUACCCACCCUGCCCCAGAGCCAGACUGUGCCUCUUGUCAGCAACUCUGUAUCUACACACUGCUGCCUGUCUUGCUCACCACUGUGACCAAGCCUUUGCCAAUUUGUGUGUUUGGAUGUGUCCCCGGUGAGAUAAUGGUUGUGGUGGGGAUUGCUGUGGGGAGGUAGGCUAUGGGACUUUAGGAAGGAAAGUUUUCUUGUUUGUUUGUUUUUGUUGUUGUUUUUGUUUUUGCUAUCCAUCACAAAGCAGUAUAAUAAAGAAGCAAAUGAACUGGA